rnacentral:rRNA from 1 species
AGCAGCCGCGGUAAUUCCAGCUCCAAUAGCGUAUAUUAAAGUUGUUGCAGUUAAAAAGCUCGUAGUUGAAUUUCGGGGUUAGUAGGUUGGUCAUGCCUCUGGUAUGCACUGGUCUCACUGAUUCCUCCUUCCUGAUGAACCUUAAUGCCAUUAAUUUGGUGUUUUGGGGAAUUUGGACUGUUACUUUGAAAAAAUUAGAGUGUUUAAAGCAAGCUAACGCUUGAAUACAUUAGCAUGGAAUAAUGAAAUAGGACGUUCGAUCCUAUUUUGUUGGUUUCUAGGAUUGACGUAAUGAUUAAUAGGGAUAGUUGGGGGCAUUAGUAUUCAAUUGUCAGAGGUGAAAUUCUUGGAUUUAUUGAAGACUAACUACUGCGAAAGCAUUUGCCAAGGAUGUUUUCAUUAAUCAAGAACGAAAGUUAGGGGAUCGAAGACGAUCAGAUACCGUCGUAGUCUUAACCAUAAACUAUGCCGACUAGGGAUCGGAUGAUGUUAAUUUUUUAAUGACUCA